AACGUAGGUGGCAAGCGUUAUCCGGAUUCACUGGGCGUAAAGCGCACGCAGGCGGCUUGGUGGGUAGGGCAUGAAAUCUCCUGGCUUAACCGGGAGGGGUUGUCCUAUACCGCCGGGCUUGAGGAUGGGAGAGGGAAGUGGAAUUGCCGGUGUAGUGGUGAGAUGCGUAGAGAUCGGCAGGAACACCAGUGGCGAAGGCGGCUUCCUGGCCUAUUCCUAACGCUCAAGUGCGAAAGCUAGGGGAGUGAAC
rnacentral:rRNA from 1 species